rfam:Gossypium arboreum cultivar AKA8401 contig_13602_3, whole genome shotgun sequence.
UGUUAAAAAUUUCAUUCAUUUUUUAUGUUAAAAAUUAGCGUGGCUGAAAGAAUAAUUAAACAGUUACACAUGUACUUCAUACUAAUAUAGAAAAACCUAUUUUUAAUAGUAAAAAUGAAUGAAUUUUUAACA